AACAAAUCUUCAUAUAAAGCGUUCUAGUUGGAAAGUUUACAGAUAUUUUAUCGUUGACCACACAAUACAGCUGGAGCACGCACAACAGCUGGGUGCUGGGUAAACAAAUACACGGACGAAACGCUGUGCAAAAUAUUGUUUCGAUUUAGAUCAACUUAACACUAUAAUUGAAUUUUCUCACAAAACCUAUAAUGAUAUUUUUUGAGGCUGACUGACUAAAGAUGGAGUCACCUUUCUUUUGCCUUGGUUUGUUGUGGAUUUCUGCACCUCUGGUGUAUUGUGUUGCUUGAUUUUUGGUGGACGGCCUUGUGGAACUUGAGCAGCACCUUUCGAAACACCCUUUCGUCUUCUUGCUCGCCCACUUGACUGAAUGGGAAUUCGUCCACUUCGUGAGCAGACAGAACCAAUCUGCCGAUAGAUGGCAACAAUGGAAGCUGUGGCAGCAGGUGCACUCUUCGGUUUGUUCAAAGCCUUACUUAACUUUCUUAGCAAUUCGUUUGAUGCAUCAGUUUUGGCCAACUCGAUCAAGCUGGCAAAUGCAUCUUUGCACUCAUUCACCAAAUCUUCUUUCUCAGCCUCAUCAAAAGGAUCAAGGUCUUGUUCUUCACUAUGAAUUUCGCAUGCGUGAAGCUCUUCGUCAAAUUCCACUUGUGCAUCCGACACAAAAUGAGCAACUAUUGUUAAAGAAAUUAUAUAUUUUAAAAUAUUUUAUUGUUUUUACAUUAACCAACCAUCUAAAUUUGGCUCCUUUUCAGUUGGAUCAACUUCUGUUCGGCCUAAAAAGAAUUUCAAGUCAGGGCAUUUGCUGCCGAGGGCCAAGCGAGCAAGUUCGAGUCGAUCGCCACUAAGAAGUGGAGGAGCCGAGGGCAUGGAGAUGUUGAAGUAUUUAACAAGCAGAGAUUGGUGUUUGCAGAAUGCACCACCCUCACCAACUGGACAGGAGCACACACCAAUCUUUGAAUGGACUUCAUAAAAGGUUUGAUCUUUUCCAUCCUGCUUAGUAACUUGUGGAAGACAAUGGAGUGGGCUGAGUGUCGAUUAUGUGCAUGGUCAAGGAGCCGCCGCUUGUAGUAAGACUCCAUGGGCCCAAUUACAAAUUCUACCAAGGCCACAGGAUUGAAUGCCUGCAAUAAAAUUAUAUUUCUAUCUCAUUCUUGUUAUUAAAACUGCUAAAUCAACAACCUUCAUUCUAUCAAGUACAGCCUCUUUAACAAUUUUGAUGCUGGACUCUGCAUAGUUGUUGGUGUGGUUGUUUCUUAAUAGAAGAUCACUCCUUUUGUAAAUAGCCCAUUCAUUUUUUCUUUUUAGGUACUUUUCAAACCGAGCAACGAAUUUUUUUUCUGACUUCAAACUUUGGAUCUCAUCCACUCCUUUGUCAAAUUCCUCUUGAUUUGCAGCAUAAACGACCUGAAUUUAAGUUGCUAUUAAAUUAAAUUUUAAAAUUAUAGAAAAGUAAAUUAAAUUAUACUUUGUAAAAUAGGCCCAUCAGUUUUUUCCUCACAUCCUUGGUAGAAUUAGAUAGGAGCCAUUUCCAUUCCUUUGAUAAUACAUGGAAAGUGCACAAUAGCUGGCGAGAUGAUGGCCACACAGCAGCAAGAGCUCCUCUCUCAGCAGAACUGUCAUCAGUCAUUGUAGUGAGGGGCUCCUUAUAAAAUUUUUAUUGGGUUAAUUUAAAUAUUAUUUCUUUGAUAUUACACAAUAUUCUCAAACUGUAUUCUUAUUUAAAGUUUAAAAAAUUUUAAAUUUUUUACCGUAUUUCCUCCAAAUGCCUUUGGGCAAUGAUCUUUUACCAGGGAAAAGGCUAAUUUAUAGCAAUCCUCUGAUUGGCCAUUGUGAAGCAGCAGGCACAAUGGAAGAGCCCCUGCUUUUGAGGGAACAGUCAUUGAGGUUAAAGUGCAGUGGGUCACAUCAACACUUGAUGUUGAAUCUACGAAUAGACUCUCUUUUGCAGAUUCUAAGUGUUGCACCCUUUUCAUGAUUGGAGUCACGACCAAAACAGCCCAAUUUUCAUCCUUCACCGUCACAUAAACUUGGGUGUCUAAGUAAUUUUUUUUUUUAAUUAAAAUACAAAAUAUGUGAUUAAAUUUUUUGUUGCUAUUUUAAUUUAUCAUAUGUACCUCUUUCUAAAUAGUAGUUAUUUUCGUUCUUUUCAAUGAUUUUCAUUAAAGGUGAAUCACUUUGACCUCCAAAGUUUUUUUUACUCCACUUCUCAUGCAUAUGAUGCACACACCGCCGUGUUGGAUUGUGUGCAUUAUCAGCCAAAUCAACCAUUGCGUCAGCGGACACGAGGAGAUCUUCGUGCAAGCGCCUUGCUUGCGCUGGGGUAUUACCAUCAUCAAAAUAUGACAUAAAAGUAUCUUCGAGACUUUUGGGAACUCGGUUCAGUCGAAGCGUAUCAGCACUUCUAAGGUGGUGAUUGUGCACCCCUGUGAUGGUGAUCACUGCAGGUCUACUAAUUCCAUUUUUAUCAGGCCUAAUGUAUUUGUCUUUGUUUCUUGUAUUUCUAGUAUUCUGCAAAAUAUAAAAUUUAUUUAUUUAUUUUAUUUUAAAUAAAUUGGAAAAUAUUUAUUGUUACAAAUUAAUUAAUUAAUUUAUAAAAAACAAUCAACAAUGAUAUAAUAACGAAAAAAACUAUAUAACAAUUAAUUCAACAAUUCAAAAGUAUUAAUAAAUAUAUAAAUACCAGCUUAAUUUUGAUAUCAAGCUUAGCCUUGCAGUCAGUGCUCCUUGUAGAAUUUUCAGUCUUGUUUAACUUGCUGAAGUGACAAUACCAUUUUUUGUGAACAACAAACCUAUAAAAUUUAUAAAUAUACUUAUAAUUUACAUAUUUAUCCAGGCAAAAUUAUGUUAUCUCACCUCUCGAGAUUAUCCCUUUCGUAAAGGACUGUCCACUGAGAUCUACUAAUAGCACAAAUAUCUUCUUUCCAUUGAUUGGCAUCAGAUUCAUUUUGCAACAUAGCCCUCAAAACAAUCUUUUCUGUUGAGCUCUCCACACAGAUUGUAUUGAAGGACGUGGGAAAAAUAUUUUUAGUGGGACUUGCUACUGCCAUUAUUUAAUAAGAAUUUUUUUCUUUUCAUUCGUCAGAACAAAAGGCCAAAAGUAAACAAAAGGAUUGAUAAUAUUUGGUGCAAUUGCAGUAUGAUCAAGUGCACGUGUAUUGUGGAGUCAACAAUAAAAUAUCUGUAAACUUUCCAACUAGAACGCUUUAUAUGAAGAUUUGUUGUUCUAAAAUGUUCAAAUUAAUUUUCAAAGACAUAUUAUUUUCAUUCAGUGUCAAUUAAAUAUUUUUUUUCAAUUCUAUCGCUUUCUUGACUGAUUUUUUAAUGAUCAAACUCUGGGAAUUUUGAAUUUGAGCGCCAAUUCCACACAAUGCGCCCAAUUGAUGUGGGGUUCGGAAUAUCGCGGCCGGGGGCCCGUUAGAGGGCCGUCGCCGGCGAAGCCGGCGCGCAAAAUUGGGCCGUUUAGUUGGCGUGGGCCGCCUAUUUUAAAAACGCCCGGUAAAAUUUUUAGAGCCAGUCCGGCACUGAUUUUAAGAAUAAAAAUUUUCAUUCUCAAGCGACAAUAGAUUGUGAAUGCAAGCACUGCGGUAAGAAAUGUUCACAAUAUCAUAUUCUUGAAUGUAAUGAACGAAAACUAAGCCUAAGAGAGGCUGCAAAAAUCAAAAUUAACUAAUUUUGUACUUUGUAAUAAUUAUCGAAACAAGCUUAAUUGUAAAAUUAAUUUUAGGAAGACAAAUUAGCUUUAGACACCCGUUGUACACCUAGUUGUGUUCAAUAAAUACUCUAUCUAUUAA